rnacentral:tRNA from 1 species
GCCGGAGUGGUGAAAUUGGUAGACACGUCGGAUUCAAAAUCCGAUGCCCUAACAGGCGUGCCGGUUCAAGUCCGGCCUCCGGUACCA